UGGAGAUGUGGUUUAGUGGUAGAGUGCUUGCCUGAUAAGCAUGAGGUCCUGGGUUCAAUCCCCAGCUCUGCAA